ACAAAUGUCGCCCCGGACCUCUCGCUGAUUUUUUUUCUUUGUCACAGCGCUGGGGAGAAAAGCAAGCUCCGUGGCUUGCGUGAGUUCCUGCCAAAUCGUAGCUCUUUCGAGUGAGGACGUGCUGAAACACUACAUAGAGACGGGCAAGCCCUCGGAAGCAUGUCGUUUGCCUUGAUUCCGGAGGCGGCCGUCUCCUUCUGCCGAGGAUUUGAAGCGAGCUCCUGACAGAUCAGAAGUGUUCAGGCGAACGGCGGUUAUAUUUGUCCGUGGACCUAAGACUUCGUUGACAGGCAAAUAUGUAAGAUUUUCUUGUUUUUUAUUUGUGGCACCUUAUUGUAAGACCGUGACAUAUUUUGCCGUUUUCUCUAGAGAACACUGCAACAAGGACUGUAGUGUGGAUAGCGUGCAUCGCUGGUCUGGCAAACUGAAAAAAAUUCUGGUAACAUGCAUGCUUGGUUACAAAAGUCUCGCGCAAUCGCUUUUCACAUUGAAUUUGGUCGCAAGUAUGCUGUAAAUUCCGACUGCACAAUAUGUGACUAGCCCGCGGCCGCUUUUAAGGUAAGAUUGUGUAUUUAUUGUACCAUUUGUUUUCCAGUGACAUUAAGAGCCAACAACGAAAACCUCGAUCCAUCCUGUCUCCACAUAUUAUCUAGUUUGUGCGCUGUGGAGCUUGAAGCACUUCUCAGAAUUUCAGCACACUCGCAUUUAUUUUUUUCCCGACAGAAGAACAAUGCAAGUCUCACAUCUCGAUGGUAAAACGUCGCACCUGCGUACGUGUUCAGAGCCAAGAGCACGAGAACUGGCCGAAAGAAAGGAGCUGAUCCAAGAAGAAUGCCGUCCGUCUUGUACAUAUGUCAGCGCUAUCAUGCAGCGAUCACAUGGACUGUACGGUUGCGUUGCAGAAGGGCUGAUGCAAACGCUCCGCGUGAACAAUGUUGCAUGCA